AACGAACGCUGGCGGCAGGCCUAACACAUGCAAGUCGAGCGCACCUUCGGGCGAGCGGCGGACGGGUUAGUAACGCGUGGGAACGUACCCUUUUCUACGGAAUAGCCUUUGGAAACGAAGAGUAAUACCGUAUACGCCCUUUGGGGGAAAGAUUUAUCGGAGAAGGAUCGGCCCGCGUUAGAUUAGAUAGUUGGUGGGGUAACGGCCUACCAAGUCUACGAUCUAUAGCUGGUUUUAGAGGAUGAUCAGCAACACUGGGACUGAGACACGGCCCAGACUCCUACGGGAGGCAGCAGUGGGGAAUCUUAGACAAUGGGCGCAAGCCUGAUCUAGCCAUGCCGCGUGAGUGGUGAAGGCCUUAGGGUCGUAAAGCUCUUUCGCCUGUGAUGAUAAUGACAGUAGCAGGUAAAGAAACCCCGGCUAACUCCGUGCCAGCAGCCGCGGUAAUACGGAGGGGGUUAGCGUUGUUCGGAAUUACUGGGCGUAAAGCGCACGUAGGCGGAUUGGAAAGUUGGGGGUGAAAUCCCGGGGCUCAACCCCGGAACUGCCUCCAAAACUAUCAGUCUAGAGUUCGAGAGAGGUGAGUGGAAUUCCAAGUGUAGAGGUGAAAUUCGUAGAUAUUUGGAGGAACACCAGUGGCGAAGGCGGCUCACUGGCUCGAUACUGACGCUGAGGUGCGAAAGUGUGGGGAGCAAACAGGAUUAGAUACCCUGGUAGUCCACACCGUAAACGAUGAAUGCCAGUCGUCGGGCAGUAUACUGUUCGGUGACACACCUAACGGAUUAAGCAUUCCGCCUGGGGAGUACGGUCGCAAGAUUA
rnacentral:rRNA from 1 species